rnacentral:rRNA from 1 species
GACGAACGCUGGCGGCGUGCCUAAUACAUGCAAGUAGAACGCUGAAGGAGGAGCUUGCUUCUCCGGAUGAGUUGCGAACGGGUGAGUAACGCGUAGGUAACCUGCCUGGUAGCGGGGGAUAACUAUUGGAAACGAUAGCUAAUACCGCAUAAGAGUAGAUGUCGCAUGACAUUUGCUUAAAAGGUGCAACUGCACCACUACCAGAUGGACCUGCGUUGUAUUAGCUAGUUGGUGAGGUAACGGCUCACCAAGGCAACGAUACAUAGCCGACCUGAGAGGGUGAUCGGCCACACUGGGACUGAGACACGGCCCAGACUCCUACGGGAGGCAGCAGUAGGGAAUCUUCGGCAAUGGACGGAAGUCUGACCGAGCAACGCCACGUGAGUGAAGAAGGUUUUCGGAUCGUAAAGCUCUGUUGUAAGAGAAGAACGAGUGUGAGAGUGGAAAGUUCACACUGUGACGGUAUCUUACCAGAAAGGGACGGCUAACUACG